rnacentral:rRNA from 1 species
UGGAUGACUCUCGGCAACGGAUAUCUCGGCUCUCGCAUCGAUGAAGAACGUAGCGAAAUGCGAUACCUGGUGUGAAUUGCAGAAUCCCGUGWACCAUCGAGUCUUUGAACGCAAGUUGCGCCCGAGGCCAUCCGGCUAAGGGCACGCCWGCCUGGGCGUCACGC